rnacentral:rRNA from 1 species
UGCUCUUCUUGGAUGAGUUGCGAACGGGUGAGUAACGCGUAGGUAACCUGCCUUGUAGCGGGGGAUAACUAUUGGAAACGAUAGCUAAUACCGCAUAACAAUGGAUGACACAUGUCAUUUAUUUGAAAGGGGCAAUUGCUCCACUACAAGAUGGACCUGCGUUGUAUUAGCUAGUAGGUGAGGUAAUGGCUCACCUAGGCGACGAUACAUAGCCGACCUGAGAGGGUGAUCGGCCACACUGGGACUGAGACACGGCCCAGACUCCUACGGGAGGCAGCAGUAGGGAAUCUUCGGCAAUGGGGGCAACCCUGACCGAGCAACGCCGCGUGAGUGAAGAAGGUUUUCGGAUCGUAAAGCUCUGUUGUAAGUCAAGAACGGGUGUGAGAGUGGAAAGUUCACACUGUGACGGUAGCUUACCAGAAAGGGACGGCUAACUACGUGCCAGCAGCCGCGGUAAUACGUAGGUCCCGAGCGUUGUCCGGAUUUAUUGGGCGUAAAGCGAGCGCAGGCGGUUUGAUAAGUCUGAAGUUAAAGGCUGUGGCUCAACCAUAGUUCGCUUUGGAAACUGUCAAACUUGAGUGCAGAAGGGGAGAGUGGAAUUCCAUGUGUAGCGGUGAAAUGCGUAGAUAUAUGGAGGAACACCGGUGGCGAAAGCGGCUCUCUGGUCUGUAACUGACGCUGAGGCUCGAAAGCGUGGGGAGCGAACAGGAUUAGAUACCCUGGUAGUCCACGCCGUAAACGAUGAGUGCUAGGUGUUGGAUCCUUUCCGGGAUUCAGUGCCGCAGCUAACGCAUUAAGCACUCCGCCUGGGGAGUACGACCGCAAGGU